UGGGGAAUCUUGCGCAAUGGACGAAAGUCUGACGCAGCCACGCCGCGUGAGUGAAGAAGGCCUUCGGGUUGUAAAGCUCUGUCGGAGGGGACAAAAACUGGAUUGGUUAAUAGCCUUUUCAAUUGAUGGUACCCUCAAAGGAAGCACCGGCUAACUUCGUGCCAGCAGCCGCGGUAAUACGAAGGGUGCAAGCGUUGCUCGGAAUUAUUGGGCGUAAAGGGUAGGUAGGUGGUAAUACAAGUCUGGGGUGAAAUCCCUGAGCUCAACUCAGGACGUGCCUUGGAAACUGUAUUACUAGAGUGCUAGAGAGGUUUGCGGAAUUCCUGGUGUAGCGGUGAAAUGCGUAGAGAUCAGGAGGAACAUCAGCGGCGAAGGCGGCAAACUGGAUAGCAACUGACACUCAACUACGAAAGCGUGGGGAGCAAACA
rnacentral:rRNA from 1 species